ACAGUCACACAUUAGACUACCCGGUAGUCCUAGCCGUAAACGAUACUCGCUAGGUGUCGGCCACGGUGCGACCGUUGUCGGUGCCGUAGGGAAGCCGUGAAGCGAGCCACCGUGGGAAGUACCGGCCGCAAGGCUAGAAACUUAAAGGAAUUGGCGGGGGAGCACCGCAACGGGAGGAGCGUGCGGUUCAAUUGGAUUCAACGCCGGACAACUCACCAGGAGCGACGGUUACAUGAAGGCCAGGCUGAUGACCUUGCCUGAUUUUCCG
rnacentral:rRNA from 1 species